GGCAGCAGGGUUGCCAGGUAACGGGAGUAGCUAAAGUAACGCGUUACACAGCAGUGUUAGUUAGCGCACCAUGUGGUUGUGUUUCAGUUGUGAUUGUUAUUAUAGUUAGCAGCAUAGUUACCUCGUGUUAGCAUGUUUAUUUAAGUCGAGUUAUUACAUUUCCACUCCAUUUUAUUUCACUGCUGUGUCACAAGCAAGCACGACUCACUGACUCACAGCGGUGGAACGGUAAAGGGUAGCCCUGCCCUUGAGUCAUAUUCGCAUUAAAGGGAGUGACAACAUUAAUAAAUUGUAUUUUAGUUCAUAAUAUGCUCACUGAAAGGACGGCUGGUGGUGACGAACACUUUUUUAACAGAGGGAAGAAUAUAAUCCUGACCGUCAUUUCACUUUCGGUCUCAGGAGAAAACAAACUACAGCAGAAGACGAAGGAGGAUUUUGAUCAGUUCAACAGGUAACAAACAGCUGCAAAGUUUUACUGACUUUACUGACACAAACUCAGGCAGAAAAUGAUCAAACUGAAGUUAAAUCGUUAAAAUCUAAAAAUAAAAUAAAAAUAAUAAAUGAAAAAAAUUAAUAAAGACAAAAUAAAACAAUAAAUAAUUGAAUACCAUUUAAAUCAAAGAAACAAUUUAAGAAAACAUGAAUUAGAUCGCAUAAAUGAAAAGAUAUAAUGGUGUUAAGAUAACUAUAAUA